GUGGGGAAUCUUAGACAAUGGGCGAAAGCCUGACGCAGCCAUGCCGCGUGAAUGAUGAAGGUCUUAGGAUUGUAAAAUUCUUUCACCGGGGACGAUAAUGACGGUACCCGGAGAAGAAGCCCCGGCUAACUUCGUGCCAGCAGCCGCGGUAAUACGAAGGGGGCUAGCGUUGCUCGGAAUUACUGGGCGUAAAGGGCGCGUAGGCGGAUCGUUAAGUCAGGGGUGAAAUCCCAGAGCUCAACUCUGGAACUGCCCUUGAUACUGGCGAUCUUGAGUGUGAGAGAGGUAUGUGGAACUCCGAGUGUAGAGGUGAAAUUCGUAGAUAUUCGGAAGAACACCAGUGGCGAAGGCGACAUACUGGCUCAUUACUGACGCUGAGGCGCGAAAGCGUGGGGAGCAAACAGGAUUAGAUACCCUGGUAGUCC
rnacentral:rRNA from 1 species